CACGUAGGGGGCAAGCGUUGUCCGGAUUCAUUGGGCGUAAAGAGCUCGUAGGCGGUUCGAUAAGUCGGGUGUGAAACCUCCAGGCUCAACCUGGAGACGCCACCCGAUACUGUCGUGACUAGAGUCCAGUAGGGGAGCGUGGAAUUCCUGGUGUAGCGGUGAAAUGCGCAGAUAUCAGGAGGAACACCAGCGGCGAAGGCGGCGCUCUGGGCUGGCACUGACGCUGAGGAGCGAAAGCGUGGGGAGCGAACAGG
rnacentral:rRNA from 1 species